UACGAGGGGCUAGACGUUGUCCGGAAUUAUUGGGCGUAAAGAGCUCGUAGGCGGUUUGUCACGUCGCUGUGAAACCCUGGGGCUCAACCCCGGGCCUGCAGCCGAUACGGGCAGCUAGAAUUCGGUAGGGGAGACUGGAAUUCCUGGUGUAGCGGUGAAAUGCGCAGAUAUCAGGAGGAACACCGGUGGCGAAGGCGGGUCUCUGGGCCGAAAUUGACGCUGAGGAGCGAAAGCGUGGGGAGCAAACAGG
rnacentral:rRNA from 1 species